CUGCUCGCGUGCGCAAUUGCGCACUGCUGACACGGUCUCCGCGCACAGAAAAUCUGCGCUGCGCACAAAACAAAAAUCCAACCUGAAUUGUAAAUAAAAUAAACACGUAACAAUUCAUUCUGUGCUAUUUUUCAGUGUGAGUCAGUGAGUGACCGGUGACUGGCUGCUGCAGCCAAUGAUGCGAUUCACAUACGUAUUUACCAUAGACUGUAUAUAAUGGUAUUUACGCAGCUAAUCAACGUCAGGCGUCCUUAUGUGGAGCCACCAUUGUUGUCAUAGAUAUGAAUGAGUAGAUAGGACACGCCCCUUUGAGCUGCGUGCUACAGCGAGGCUAAGCUAGUGGGGGCAAAGUUUCAGUGCAUUCCCUUGAUGUAGACGGCGUGAAAACGGAAACAAUAAGUAUGCCGGCUCACUGUGCUGCAUACAAUUGCACACUACAUCAUACGAUUGAGACAAGGAAACUUGGAAUGACUUUUCAUAGGUUUCCCAGAGACUAUGGGUUGAGGAGGAAUUGGAAGUUUGUCGGCUUAGACCUGGUGUCAUUCCAUCAGUGUUAAACUUCCCGGCUCAUCUUGGAAGAGUACGUGCCAGAAAGACCACAACCAAGCAGCCUUGAGAUCUUAGACAGCGUCUCCCUCAGGUCCCUCUCUGUCUCCCCACACAUCCACCAACCACUGGAACACAUCUCCAAAGUUCUGCCGGGCCAGCUCAGCUUCCCCUCAGAAGAAGUGGUGCCACCUGCCAGAUGAAGGAGCCUUUUGAGAGGCAGCUGGCAUCGUGAUUGGACUGUACUUUGGUCUGUUCCAAUCCAGCUUCAGCUCCAGA